GCAAGAUUGAGGGCAAAGUCGGAGCCG
rnacentral:sRNA from 1 species